UUUAUUUGUUGCUGUAAGUUUUUUGAACAUAGCCAAAAUGGAUAGUUUUGAAUUGUUAUUUCGACAGAAACAGUGACUGGAAGAAGGCCUCAUUGAAAAUCUAAAGAUGUACGCAUUAGACCAUCAAAAAUGACUUUGGACAAGAGAAAACUUUGUUGAUGUGUGAAGAAUGCUUCUAUAAGUUUCACAGAUGAGAGGUGAAUAUGCCAGUGAAAUUGUCUUGCUUAGGAUUCUAUAGAUAUUAUAAAUAUCUUUGAUCACAAAAGAUGUAAAACACCUUUUUUGAUCCCACAAGAUAGAGAGUGGAGAUCCAAAUACAGAGAAGGUUCAUAUAGCAGAAAGGAUAUACUUAUAGGUUUUCUCAGUUUGAGGGAGUGGGUCUCAGAUGUGAAUGUGCCACUUGCCAUGAAAUGCACUUUCUCUGAAAAUUUGCUAGUAGAAAACCUUAUGGAAAGCAGCGUAUGUCUUGCUAAUACCAAAAAAGUUUUCUGUAAUUGGAUUUUCAUGGUAUGACUUGAUGGUGUCUACUACACGCUUAGAUGAGAUAACAAGCUGGAAACUUUUUUUAUCUGGAUCUAGGCUAGAAUGUUUAAGUUUCCAAUACAAAAUUCCAUCAUGAAGAAUGAAAGACUGAUAUUGUAAUCAGAGAGAUCUUGUUUGUGGACUAUGAGCAACAAUGUCUUGAAAGUCACUUCAACACGGGCUAACUGGUCUUCUGGACUGAUCAUCAGCUCCAACAUUUUUGCUGCAUUUAAUGAAGGAAAUUUUGAAACUGUAAGGAGCUAAUCUGCUGAUCUACCUUGCUAAAAGUCCAGAAGGAUUUUUGAAGUUUUGAAGCCACUGCAACUUUGCAUGAUACGUUUGAUUGUAUCAAAAGCUUUGUUACAUUCUGAAUUGCACUUGAAAAGCACUACAUAUUUCAUUAAUUUGUUUAAUGAUAGAGAUAACGUUGCCUGAUGUGGAAUAUA